UACGUAGGGCGCAAGCGUUGUCCGGAAUUAUUGGGCGUAAAGAGCUCGUAGGCGGUUUGUCGCGUCUGCUGUGAAAACCUAAGGCUCAACCUUGGGCUUGCAGUGGGUACGGGCAGACUAGAGUGCGGUAGGGGUGACUGGAAUUCCUGGGUGUAGCGGUGGAAUGCGCAGAUAUCAGGAGGAACACCGGUGGCGAAGGCGGUUCUCUGGG
rnacentral:rRNA from 1 species